rnacentral:rRNA from 1 species
UACGUAGGGUGCAAGCGUUGUCCGGAAUUAUUGGGCGUAAAGAGCUCGUAGGCGGUUUGUCGCGUCUGCUGUGAAAACGCGAGGCUCAACCUCGCGCCUGCAGUGGGUACGGGCAGGCUUGAGUUCGGUAGGGGAGACUGGAAUUCCUGGUGUAGCGGUGAAAUGCGCAGAUAUCAGGAAGAACACCGAUGGCGAAGGCAGUUCUCUGGGCCGUAACUGACGCUGAGGAGCGAAAGCGUGGGGAGCGAACAGG